rnacentral:tRNA from 1 species
GCCGACUUAGCUCAGCGGCUAGAGCAACUGUUUUGUAAACAGUAGGUCCGGGGUUCAAAUCCCCGAGUCGGCU